rnacentral:rRNA from 1 species
GAUGAACGCUGGCGGCGUGCCUAAUACAUGCAAGUCGAGCGGACAGAUGAGGAGCUUGCUCCUCACGCGUUAGCGGCGGGCAGGUACGUGACCCGUGGAUAACCUCACUAGCAGACUGGGGUAACUACGAGAAAACGGAGCUAAUACCGGAAGAUAUAUUCCACCGAAUGGUUCACUAGUGAAUGACGGGUUUGCUGUCGCGUAUAGGUCUUACCGCGGCGCAUUAGCGUAUUGGUAAGGUAAGGGCUUGCCAAGGCAACGAUACGUAGCCGACCUGAGAGGCGGUUCGGAGACACUGGAACUGAGACACGGUCCAGACUCCUACGGGAGCCAGCAGUAGGGAAUCUCGCGCAAUGGGCGUAAGCCUGACGGAGCAACGCCGCGUGGGUGAUGAAGGUCUUGGGAUCGUAAAACUCUGUUAUUAGGGAAGAACAAAUGUGUAAGUAACUAUGCACGACAUGACGGUACCUAAUCAGAAAGCCACGGCUAACUAUGUG